CCCAAUUAGUCACACACUGGUUGCAGAAUAACACCUUGAGAAAGCAGGGCUUCUCCUUCUCCUUAUUGCAAAGGCUCUGCUCCAAGUGCCUUACAUCUGAGAAUUCCUUCCUGUCUCAUGCAACUCUAUGAGAUAGACACAACUGUUGUCCCCAUUUUAAGGAUGAGAGGUUGAAGGCACAGAAAGAUUCAACAACAUGCCGAAGGAAUAAAGCCUAUUGCUUACUGACUUGUAGACCAAAUACCAUGAGUCUCAAGGCAGACUAGUUACUGCAGCUUCAGUAAAGGUCUGUGCUUCACCCAGGAAGGAAGAGCCAGCUUCAAGAGGCUCCAGAAUGGAAUGGAUUUGUAUUAGAGCAUAGUGGUUGAAUUUGCCUUGAACUGGAUUGCACAUCUGGAGCUUUCCACCUAAAUAAGCAGAAAAUAUACUUUAAUAAAAAUGUGCUG